GACAAGCUAGCGCUAAAAGGCCCCGCUACUUUUGCUCGUCGUCGAGUUACGUGCGCAUGCAAAAGUCUCCGACUUUCGACCGGGCAUAUGCCGCACGCUUGCAACACGCGUGUUCCGGUGUUCAACUUAUCCCUUUCCCACUUAAAAACCUUUCAUGUUCCUAGUCUUGAGUUUCAUAGCAGUUUUUUUCUGUUCAAGUAACAGAGAGAACAGUACCUUUGUUUCCCAGUUAAACGAUCUAUGUCUCCCACCCUUCCCAUCAUGCAACUUUAAUUAGCAAUACAACUUGCGACUACUAUGUGUAGUUAUACCCUCUAAAAUGCCUGCUUUUACUCUUUAUAGUGAUUAUAUAAGCAAAAGUCCUCCAUUUUUUUUCAACCAACCACCUAAUGCUCUAUAUCCUUUCCCACCUAGCCCGGCAAAAAUUUCUUUGGUGUCGUUGUCACAAUUCCAUAUUUUCACAGUUACAAAUAAGUACUUCCU
rnacentral:lncRNA from 1 species